rfam:Bacteroidetes bacterium 41-46 SCNpilot_bf_inoc_scaffold_26, whole genome shotgun sequence.
CUAUGAAAUAAAAUUGACGUUUCACCCACUAUUCAAAAGCCAGCAAAAUGGAAUCCGGUAAUUUGAUUUAAUCAGAAAAGCCGGAGCUGUACCCGCAGCCGUAUGUCCAAAAAAUGAGUUCUGAGAUGAAAGCCACUGUCAAAUGCAUGAUGGGAAGGCCUCAGAAGAGAGACGAGCCGGAAGACCUGCUGGCAGCAGAACCAUCGC